GGCGCUAUAGUGUAGUGGCAGCACAUGGGAUUCUGACUGACUUGGUUGUCUUCCCAUAACCCAGGUUCGACCCCUGGUAGUGCCU